UGGUCUGUCAUCGCAUUGCGCCGUGUUCCAAUGUCUGGUGGUGCCGGUGUAGAAGCAGCUGUUCGCCGGAAGUGCGCAGUUUGAGCACGUGACUUUACGAUGACUAUCGUACCCUGCACACCAGGGUUCGGGGCUCGGCAGUGCAGGUAUAUCGAACAGGUCGCUCAUCAAAGCCAGCCGACAGACGUGGUGUGACGAGGCGAGGAGUGCUAGGAUCCCUGUGCAUGCGGCGAUGGAGUGUAAAUACCCGGAUAUUAUUCCACGAUUGUCUUCUUGCACUUGACUCAUACUUUGUGGAAAAGUGAUUCUUAUCUUUGCAAGUACAGGAUCAUUUGAACUCUUCCGAUGUUAUAAGGAGUGGUGUACAUCAAUGGGCGGAGUAAUGCUGCCUAUCAGCUCACAUCGAGAGUAGAGAGGGAAGCUAAAGUACAGGCUGACGCCGGGAGAGGGUCAACAGAGUUCGAGCGCGUGCACCUUGCACUGCAGGACACAAACAGCUUUAGUGACGUCACUCGCUGAGUUCACAGAGUCGCCCAUGAAUAUGAGAUUUUCCGGCUACACAGCUGAUCUUUCAAUUUGGAGGACAGCAGUGCAUCCUCGGUGCCAGAGGACUGAGCAUCAUGCAUGUGUGGAGACAUUUUCUUUUUCUGGAAACUGUGGCUUAUUGGGGAUCCGCCAUUCAAAGCCGUCACGUGGAGGAAAGCGGAAAAAGUGCAAGACCUGUCACGUGACUGCAGCCAGCGUGAGGUCUGUUGAUGCAGGCUUUUGAUCUUUUGUAGCAGCGUGGGUGGAGGUGACAAAGAGCCAGUGCACUUCAUUGGUCGAUCAGAAAAAAAAAAAACCCAGAGA